AGUGAACGCUGGCGGUAGGCCUAACACAUGCAAGUCGAACGGCAGCACAGUAAGAGCUUGCUCUUACGGGUGGCGAGUGGCGGACAGGUGAGGAAUACAUCGGAAUCUACUUUUUCGUGGGGGGUAACGUAGGGAAACUUACGCUAAUACCGCAUACGACCUACGGGUGAAAGCAGGGGAUCUUCGGACCUUGCGCGAUUGAAUGAGCCGAUGUCGGAUUAGCUAGUUGGCGGGGUAAAGGCCCACCAAGGCGACGAUCCGUAGCUGGUCUGAGAGGAUGAUCAGCCACACUGGAACUGAGACACGGUCCAGACUCCUACGGGAGGCAGCAGUGGGGAAUAUUGGACAAUGGGCGCAAGCCUGAUCCAGCCAUACCGCGUGGGUGAAGAAGGCCUUCGGGUUGUAAAGCCCUUUUGUUGGGAAAGAAAAGCAGCAGGUUAAUACCCCGCUGUUCUGACGGUACCCAAAGAAUAAGCACCGGCUAACUUCGUG
rnacentral:rRNA from 1 species